rnacentral:rRNA from 1 species
GGUUGAUCCUGCCAGUAGCAUACGCUUGUCUCAAAGAUUAAGCCAUGCAUGUCUAAGUAUAAAUAAUUCUAUACUGUGAAACUGCGAAUGGCUCAUUAUAUCAGUUAUAGUUUAUUUGAUAGUCCCUUACUACUUGGAUAACCGUAGUAACUCUAGAGCUAAUACAUGCGCAAAGUCCCGACUGCUUAACGGCGGAAAGGAUGUAUUUAUUAGAUCCAACCAGCCCGCUUCGGCGUGUCCCUGGUGAGUCAUAAUAACUGAGCGAAUCGCAUGGUCUUGCACCGGCGAUGGUU